CCUACGGGUGGCAGCAGUGGGGAAUAUUGGGCAAUGGGCGCAAGCCUGACCCAGCAACGCCGCGUGAAGGAAGAAGGCUUUCGGGUUGUAAACUUCUUUUCUCAGGGACGAAGCACGUGACGGUACCUGAGGACUACGCCACGGCUACCUACGUGCCAGCAGCCGCGGUAAUACGUAGGUGGCAAGCGUUAUCCGGAUUUAUUGGGUUUACAGGGUGCGCAGGCGGUCUGUUAAGUCAGCGGGAAAAGCCCGGGCCUCACCCCCGGCCCGCCGUUGAAACUGGCAGUCUCGAGUGGGAGAGAAGUAGGCGGAAUGCGCGGUGUAGCGGUGAAAUGCAUAGAUAUCGCGCAGAACUCCGAUUGCGAAGGCAGCAUGCCGGCUCCACACUGACGCUGAGGCACGAAAGCGUGGGUAUCGAACAGGAUUAGAUACCCUAGUAGUC
rnacentral:rRNA from 1 species